CUGAAAAAUAUGAAGCCCUUUACAAAUGUCAUACAUAGAGUCAGUACCUGAUAGAAUCAGCAUCUAAACUUCUGUCUGUUCCCUUUCUGUACACUAUAGGGCUUCUCCUGUGUUAGUUAUAAGAAUUUAAUAUUGUGGCCAAUGACUUGUUAAUGUGGAUAAAUGAGCUGGAGCCUUGAAGACUGACACAUUUCAGAUUAAGCCCUUCUCAUUUUUCUUAGCGUCUCUAAGCCUCAGUUUCUUCAUGCAUCAGAGAAGGAUGAUAAAUAUUUGAAAACUGGAUUAUGGGAGAUAAACUUUGUGAAAAGAUUUUGGCUUUUAGAAAACACUUGAUAAAUACUAUUUCACAUCUUGUUUUUACUUAUAGUCCACCGUGACCUUAUUUGGAAGACACUUUGCGAUGAUGGAGAGUUCUUUAGGCCUCUUUGGAGUGUCCUUGGGCUUGCUAACACAGAGGCGCCUGCAAGGGGAGCAGUGAUGAGCCAGAUUGUAGUGGCUUUGUGUUCCUGAAUGAAGACGACAUGGAAUAGAACCCCUAGCACAACCCAAGACAGGUGUGAGGAAACCAGUGUCCAAACUCUACAUCUUGCAGCUACUCCAUUCUCCACCCACAGCUUGCAAGAUCUCCUUUUCAUCAAGCCAUGGAAAGAGAAAAAGCAUGAAGGAUCACAUGUAGGUAACUUUUAUCAGUCAAAUCUGAAAGCGGUUGCUCAUGUCUGUGACAUUGCCCUAGACAUCAGUCACAUGGCCACAUCUGACCAAAAGGCCAGUGGGAAAUAAUAGUCAAACUGUAAUCCCAGGAAAAGUUGGAAGUAGUUUUUGGUGAAUGGUUGGCAAGUUUCUGUGAUAUGGUACCUUUAUGGGCACCAAAUACCACUUUUACUCUUCCUCGUAAUAGAAGACACUUAUUCCAUGACA